AUAAUAAAUAUUAUAGGCAAACAAAAUUUAAAAUUAGGUCACCACUGUCCACUUUUCAGCGAUCAGCAGUGCACCGCAGCACUUCCCACUUCCCGCCGACCGCCGCGACCAGUCCAGGUUUUCUUCUCCAAACAAUCUUGGUUAAGCAAUGAUGAGUUCUCAGACCGUUAAUUCAAGUGAGGACAUUUUUGACUCAUCAUUGAAUCUAGAGGACAUUCAUUACAAAGAAGGCUACUCGGUAGGCUAUACGGAUGGUCUAAAUUCUGGUAAAGAUGAAGGCAAACAGGUAGGACUCAAAAAGGGGUUUGAAGUAGGCGAAGAAUUGGGUUUUUACAAAGGUUGUAUUGAUGUAUGGAAUGCUGCUAUCUUAGUAGAGCCAACCUGUUUCUCAUCCCGAGUGCAGAAAAGCAUCAAACAGAUGGAUGAAUUGCUCAAUAAAUACCCCUUCACUGACCCAGAGAACGAAUCUGCCACCGAUACUAUUGACUCCUUGAGACUGAAAUUUAGAGCUAUUUGUGCAACGCUGAAUAUUAAACCGGAGUAUGAUGGGUACCCUAAAACCUCUGGGAUCGAUAACUCCGGUUUCUAAUUGGUCUAAUCAUCAAAGGUCUGAUCAGUUACUUCCUUGUAGACUGUAUAAAUUUGCAUUAUCAACUGUCAUUACAUAGCUGUUGGUGUUGAAAAGAUUCAUGCCAGAUAUUAUAUGUAUUUGCUGGUUUUAAAUAUGUCUGCGUGUGCACGUGUCUAUAUAUAUCUAUCUAUAUAUUGUAGUUACGGAUGUGUGCAAGCUAUCCCAGACACCCCAAUUUGUGUUAAAAAGCUUUUGACAGAAA